GGCCGCGUGCACGUCGGACAUCCCGCUCUUCACCGUGGCCAGACGCUCUAGAGAGAAAGGGAGCAGAGGCUUUGGGGAGAGUCAGGUACUGGGCUGAGCCCCUGAGGAAACAGUGGCGAAUAAGGCUACCUUCGUGCCUGCACAGGUCACUUACAGCCCACUGGGCUUUCAGAAAGUGCUCGCUGAAAAAAUUUGUGUAAAGGGUGGCCAAUAGGGGGACUCUGGGGCAGUUUGUGCUGUGCGAGAGCUGAUGGUCCAAUAAUGGGUUUUGUGAGGAGAAGGAACCAACUUCGGUCUGUGGGGGGAGAGGGGAGGCUCUUUGCCUUUCACAGUGGAAGGUGGGGCAGGACCAAUUGAAACUGGAGUAAUUAUAGGCCUAGGUUGCCCAGGACCCAUCCCUCCUUUUCCUCAAAGGGUCUGGAACCAGAGGUUGCAGAAGUUGGUUAUGCCUAAGCAUUAUCGGCCAUUGGCAAGACUCUUCUGGAAGGCUCCCCUGAAGAGCCCAGGAUCCCUAACCCUCACCCCUACUCUAUGACCAGCCCCUCCGUCUGGGUCCACUUCAACUCAGCCUCGCUCCACCCACCAUGGUCCCGUCUCUUUCUAGCCACUCCCUUAGCGUUGGUCUCAAGGUCCCUUGGUUCACUCACCUUCAGGAAGGCUCAUUCCCUCCCAUUUGUUCUGCCUUUGCCCUAGCUCUGCCUUGCCCUGCCCCUAAUUUUGGUCCCUUGCUCUGGGAAAGCCCCAGCUCCUGACUGGACUCUUAUCCUAUCCCUCCUUUAAGGCAGUGACAGCCUCUUUUCCCAUCUUCCAGUUCUUGGGUCUCUGCUGUGGCUGUCUUGUUGGUGAGAGGACCUGUGGCCCGCCCUUGGGGUCCCUGCCUCUGGUCUCAUUGGUAACUGGAUCUCAGGUUCAGACCCUGCACCUUUAGCACGUGCUCCUUGUUAAUGCUGUCGUAGAACAUCUUGGCAGACUCUUUGAUGGGGAUGCCACUUUCCCUCUUCCAGGAGAUGUUGGGUUUGGGGUUCCCCUUCACCUGGGCUCGGAACACAGCUUUAUCCCCUGCAGUGGGCACAGGACACAAGUUCACCUCUUAGCCUCCAGGCUGCACCUUCUGCCUGCUCCCUGCCUCCUCCCAGGGACGUUGGAACUUCGAGUCACCAAACUGAAGAACUCUACAGUGCUUGAGGACUUCGUUGUCAUGACUUCCUCUGUGGUGGCAGGAGAGAGGUCAGAAUGGACUCCAGGCAGAGCUCAGCUCCAGACUGGAGGGCUGGCCUUUUCUAGGGAGCAUGGUAGAGCACUUUAGGCCAGUGCCCACAAGACCGGCUUUGGCUAAGAAAGGAAGCCCUUAGGAAAAAAGAACCCUCAUACACUGCUGGUGGAAAUGUAGAUUGGAAAACAGUAUGGAGGUUCCUCAGAAAAUUAAGA